GAUGAACGCUGGCGGCGUGCCUAAUACAUGCAAGUCGAGCGAACAGAUGAGGUGCUUGUACCUCUGACGUUAGCGGCGAACGGGUGAGUAACACGUGGAUAACCUACCUAUAAGACUGGGAUAACUUCGGGAAACCGGAGCUAAUACCGGAUAAUAUAUUGAACCGCAUGGUUCAAUAGUGAAAGACGGAUUUGCUUCCCCCAAUAGAUGUCUCCCCGCCGCAUUAGCUAGUUGGUAAGGUAACGGCUUACCAAGGCAACGAUGCGUAGCCGACCUGAGAGGGUGAUCGGCCACACUGGAACUGAGACACGGUCCAGACUCCUACGGGAGGCAGCAGUAGGGAAUCUUCCGCAAUGGGCGAAAGCCUGACGGAGCAACGCCGCGUGAGUGAUGAAGGUCUUCGGAUCGUAAAACUCUGUUAUUAGGGAAGAACAAAUGUGUAAGUAACUGUGCACGUAUUGACGGUACCUAAUCAGAAAGCCACGGCUAACUACGUG
rnacentral:rRNA from 1 species